rnacentral:rRNA from 1 species
CCUACGGGAGGCUGCAGUGAGGAAUAUUGGUCAAUGGGCGGGAGCCUGAACCAGCCAAGUCGCGUGAGGGAAGACGGUCCUAUGGAUUGUAAACCUCUUUAGGCGGGGAGCAAUGCCGGGCACGUGUGCCCGGAGGGAGAGUACCCGCAGAAUAGGCAUCGGCUAACUCCGUGCCAGCAGCCGCGGUAAUACGGAGGAUGAGAGCGUUAUCCGGAUUUAUUGGGUUUAAAGGGUGCGUAGGCGGAUUUUUAAGUCAGCGGUAAAAUGUCGGGGCUCAACCCGGGCCGGCCGUUGAAACUGGGGAGCUUGAGUGGGCGAGAAGUAUGCGGAAUGCGUGGUGUAGCGGUGAAAUGCAUAGAGAUCACGCAGAACUCCGAUUGCGAAGGCAGCAUACCGGCGCCCGACUGACGCUGAGGCACGAAAGCGUGGGGAUCGAACAGGAUUAGAUACCCUAGUAGUC